rnacentral:rRNA from 1 species
CACGUAGGCACCAAGCGUUGUCCGGAUUUAUUGGGCGUAAAGAGCUCGUAGGCGGUUCGGUAAGUCGGGUGUGAAAACUCUGGGCUCAACCCAGAGCCGCCACCCGAUACUGCUGUGACUUGAGUUCGGUAGGGGAGCGGGGAAUUCCUGGUGUAGCGGUGAAAUGACGCAGAUAUCAGGAAGAACACCCGUGGCGAAGGCGGUUCUCUGGGACGGUACUGACGCUGAGACGCGAAAGCGUGGGGAGCGAACAGG